rnacentral:rRNA from 1 species
UACGGAGUGUGCGAGCGUUAAUCGGAAUUACUGGGCGUAAAGCGCGCGUAGGCGGUCUGAUCAGCCGGUUGUGAAAGCCCCGGGCUCAACCUGGGAACGGCAUCCGGAACUGUCAGGCUAGAGUGCAGGAGAGGAAGGUAGAAUUCCCGGUGUAGCGGUGAAAUGCGUAGAGAUCGGGAGGAAUACCAGUGGCGAAGGCGGCCUUCUGGAUUGACACUGACGCUGAGGUGCGAAAGCGUGGGUAGCAAACAGGAUUAGAUACCCCUGUA